CAGACACCAACUACAAAGUGGCUUGCUGUUCGAACUAUUUUUAUUCACAAAAAGAGAGAAAAUGUUUGCCUUGUUUUGAUGGUUACUAUGGGUACAACUGCAACAAGACAUGUCCAGCGGGAUUCUAUGGUAGUUCCUGCACCUCAGAGUGUAUUUGUGAUUUUGACAAGUGCGACUUCAGAUAUGGUUGUGAAAGUCAGGUCACAACAGAGGCUUCUAAGACAACUGUAGCAAUCACAACAGAAAUAGAAUAUACAUCUAAAAAAGAAGACACACCUCCAACGAGUACGGUAAAUCACUUAUCCAGUCA